GCGGUUGCUUAAGGUACUCUCUCUCUCUCUCUCUCUCUCUCUCUCAAUAGUUGUGAUAUGAUGGUUCAUAUGCAGGAAAUCCCUUAUUCUUUUGACUAUCUCGCGUUUGUAAUUCCUGGAAGUGAAAUUCCUCAGUGGUUCAAUAAUCAAAGUGUGGGAGACUCGGUAACUGAGACGUUUCCUUCGGAUGCAUGCAUGUAAUAGCAAGCGGAUUGGGUUUGCUGUGUGCGCUCUAAUUGUAGCUCCAGACAAUCGGUCUGCCGCUCCUAAAGGCCUUUUGAUUAAUUGUCGAUGGAAUAAUUAUGGUCAUGCUUUGCAGGGUGUUUGUUUCGGUGUAAACCAAAUUGUUUCAGAUCUCCUUGCCGUACUUGUUUUGCCCGCUCAUUUCUGGAAACCUGAGAACUGUCUGGAGGACACAUGCAAUGAGGUUAAGUUUGCCUUCAGAACCAAUCCAGGCUCGCAUAUAAAGAAAUGUGGGGCCCAUGCACUGUACGAGCACGAUGUGGAAGAGCUGAUCAGUAAAAUGAACCAAUCCAAGAGCAGCAUUUCUCUUUACGAGGCUGUUGAUGAACAAGAAGGUGCCAUGGUUAAGGCAACACGAGGCAGCAACAAGCGGAAGUGGUGCUCUGACGACGAAUACUACUCCGCAGAAGAAUGAAAGAAUUUUACAAGACUUGCACUGUCUUGCUUUGUGCAUGGUUUAACCAUCCAGUGCCUCCAAGCAAUAAUGAAAGGCCAACACUGCUAUUCUCACUAUUCACAAGAAGACGCAUUUUAUCAUUUGCUCUGCCAUCUGGAAUGGUAGGUCGUUUUCCCUUUCGAUCUCUGUCGGGGGAAGAAGCCAUUGAGGAUGAAGCCAAGUGAAGCUGAAAGUUCCAGACUUUGAAGGUCCUUUUUAGUUCGGGAAAGAGAAGAAGAAAUUUUGGAGUGUUUCUGAACUGAAUUGUUCACACUUGAGGGUUCUAUUAAUUGUUGUUGUGCCAAACUGUACUGUGUCAGUGUUUGAAGACUUGCAAAAGAAGUUGUAGUGACCAGAAUCAUCACCAUUCAUUCAAAUCAAAGGAAUGUUGCAGAUUAUGAGUAUAGUUGACCAGGGAAGAAGUUGUCAAAAAUGAGAAGGACCAAUUUACAAGUGAAAAACCAUUUACAAGUGUUGGAUAUAAACAAUAAAAUGUCCAAAAAAGAAAAGAGAACACAAAACCAAAGUUCUUGCA